CUGAAGUAUGGUUCUGACAUGUGGGGCGUAUCUAGUUGAGUUAGCAGGGCCCAUCUCCAAGAAAUCUACAAAAGUUCUAGGACUUACUGGGAGGCCUCUUACACUUAGAGAGAAAAGAUGAUAGAGAUAAAAGAAGCCAAGAGGACAACACGUUUAGAUAAAGAAGGAGAAAUAAAGUUGGAGCCUUGCCCAGGAGCUCUCUCCCAACAUGGUUCAGCGAAAACAUCUGAGAGAGAUAACAAAGUGAUUUGAAGCAAUUUCCACCAACAAUUUGAGGAAAUUAGAAAAGAUGCCAGAAAACCAUACGGCAACAGAGGGAGAUGAAAUGCGUGGCUUCCCUGGGAGACAAAGAAAGGGAAAGUGCUGGGUUCUCAAGGCCCGUUUAAUGAUCAGCCCUUUAUGCCAUAAGAUCCAAGGCAACAGUAUUUAGACGUCUCAUUCUGACCAAAUGCUACCUGGCCUUUUUCAAUUUCCAAUGGAGGACGUUAAGAAGGAUAUGUGUUGUAGGAGAAAAUGAUCCAGGUUACACUUUCUGAAUGUGGAGGACAUGGACAGAUGGUUUCAAGAGGAAGAUGAAGGGACAUUGGACAUCUGUGUCACCUAUGGUAUAUUCAGUAAUUUCAGCCAUAUCUCAUGUGUGGUAUGAAGCCUAUUUUCCAAAAGAUGCUCAAAACCCAUUAAUAGCUGAGUGACUUUUCCUCACCCAUUGUCUUUGCAUUGGCCAAUUAGCAUCUUUUACAUAUCCAUUCAACAAAUAAACACUGAACACCAACUCUUUAGGAGACACUUAGCUAAGUCUUUUGAAGGAUCCAGUGUUGAACCAGAUGUUCAUCUUGCCUUUAAAAGGAACUCAGUCCUUUUACCCAUG